rnacentral:lncRNA from 1 species
UGUUUUAUAUGUAUUUAUGUGUUAUUUCUUCUGUUGGAAAGAAAGAUUGGAUUGUGUCGUGAAUCCAUGGUCGAUCGAGGUGAAACGAAAUCGCAGCUUUGUUGUCACCGUCGUGCUGAUUCCACUGGUGCAAUCCGUUUGCAAAUCUGACGAACGGAUCUGCGGAGAUUGCGCGUUUAUUGAGGAGAGGACGGUAAUGGCAAAACGGUAUUUUCGCAAAAGUCGCGAUAUUUUAUGUACCGUUUCGCGUGACAUCG